GCCGGCCUGUAUCGAAGCUACGUAUUUUCUUUGAAUAUGUUAGUCAAAUCAGGGCCGAAAUGGAACCCGGUCCCCUACGGUCGCGGUUUAGACUUGUGUCUUCAACGUAUUGCCAAUGGGGCCCACACUU